rnacentral:rRNA from 1 species
AUUGAACGCUGGCGGCAGGCCUAACACAUGCAAGUCGAGCGGAGCGGCGGACGGGUGCGUAAUGCCUAGGAAUCUGCCUGGUAGUGGGGGAUAACGUCCGGAACCGGGCGCUAAUACCGCAUACUAUUACCUGAGCCUAGGUCGGAUUAGCUAGUUGGUGGGGUAAAGGCCUACCAAGGCGACGAUCCGUAACUGGUCUGAGAGGAUGAUCAGUCACACGGGGACUGAGACACGGUCCAGACUCCUACGGGAGGCAGCAGUGGGGAAUAUUGGACAAUGGGCGAAAGCCUGAUCCAGCCAUGCCGCGUGUGUGAAGAAGGUCUUCGGGUUGUAAAGCACUUUAAGUUGGGAGGCGUGACCAACAGAAUAAGCACCGGCUAACUUCGUGCCAGCAGCCGCGGUAAUUC